rnacentral:rRNA from 1 species
CUUCUGAUGGCGACCGGCGCACGGGUGCGUAACGCGUAUGCAACCUACCUGUAACAGGGGGAUAACACUGAGAAAUCGGUACUAAUACCGCAUAACACUAUGAGAGGCAUCUCUUGUGGUUGAAAGUUUCGGCGGUUACAGAUGGGCAUGCGUUGUAUUAGCUGGUUGAUAAGGUAACGGCUUACCAAGGCGACGAUACAUAGGGGGACUGAGAGGUUAACCCCCCACAUUGGUACUGAGACACGGACCAAACUCCUACGGGAGGCAGCAGUGAGGAAUAUUGGUCAAUGGACGGAAGUCUGAACCAGCCAUGCCGCGUGCAGGAAGACGGCUCUAUGAGUUGUAAACUGCUUUUGUACAAGGGUAAACCUGAAUACGUGUAUUCAGCUGAAAGUACUGUACGAAUAAGGAUCGGCUAACUCCGUGCCAGCAGCCGCGGUAAUACGGAGGAUCCAAGCGUUAUCCGGAUUUAUUGGGUUUAAAGGGUGCGUAGGCGGAUUGAUAAGUUAGAGGUGAAAUGUCCGAGCUUAACUCGGGAACUGCCUCUAAUACUGUUGAUCUAGAGAGUAGAUGCGGUAGGCGGAAUGUAUGGUGUAGCGGUGAAAUGCUUAGAGAUCAUACAGAACACCGAUUGCGAAGGCAGCUUACCAAUCUAUAUCUGACGUUGAGGCACGAAAGCGUGGGGAGCAAACAGGAUUAGAUACCCUGGUAGUCCACGCAGUAAACGAUGAUAGCUCGUUGUCGGCGAUACACAGUCGGUGACUAAGAAGAAUCGAUAAGCUAUCCACCUGGGGAG